UUCCUUCGGGGUCGGGUGAAAUUCCCAAUCGACGGUGAUGAGUUAAUCUCUAAGCCCGUGAGCCGCUUUUUGUGUGCAGGAUUUGGUGCAAGUCCAAAGCCGACAGUAUAGUCUGGAUGGGAGAAGGA
rnacentral:ncRNA from 1 species